GGAACUGUGGCUCAGUGGUAGAACAUCUGCUUGACGUGCAGAAGGUCCCAGGUUCAAUCCCUGGCAUCUCCA